UGGGGAAUAUUGGGCAAUGGGCGCAAGCCUGACCCAGCAACGCCGCGUGAAGGAAGAAGGCUUUCGGGUUGUAAACUUCUUUUGGCAGGGACGAAGAAAGUGACGGUACCUGCAGAAUAAGCUCCGGCUAACUACGUGCCAGCAGCCGCGGUAAUACGUAGGGAGCAAGCGUUAUCCGGAUUUACUGGGUGUAAAGGGCGCGUAGGCGGGACUGCAAGUCAGAUGUGAAAUCUGAGGGCUCAACCCUCAAACUGCAUUUGAAACUGUGGUUCUUGAGUGAUGGAGAGNCAAGUGGAAUUCCUAGUGUAGCGGUGAAAUGCGUAGAUAUUAGGAGGAACACCAGUGGCGAAGGCGACUUGCUGGACAUUAACUGACGCUGAGGCGCGAAAGCGUGGGGAGCAAACA
rnacentral:rRNA from 1 species